GGGAUUUUAAUCCGCGAGUAAUGUUGUGACAAAUUGAAAAAUCCGUCGGUACCCUUUAUUUAACAAAAAAACACAUAACACCCUCACUCUUCUCUCUCACGCUGAGAUUUGUCUCUUCCCUUCACCUUCACAAUUUUCUCUCGCCACCCAUCACCACCACGAUGCAAACAUCGCUCAACCUCAACGCCUCCUCACCUCAUCUCUGUCUCCCGUCCUCGACCUCGCUCAAGAAUCAAUCAAGUUCAACACGACACGACAACACCGUUGGACCAGAAAUCUUGUCUCCUCGCUGCUACAUCAAGUGGAGCUAGCAAGAAUUUUUUUAAAACAUGGAAGAGAUUUUGAUUUAGAAGGUUCGUCUCAUAUUUUUUUGCUAGAUAGAGUUGAUCACUCAGUAUUUAAUCUUAUGUGCGAUGAACUAAACAAAUAUAUACAUUAUAAUAUGUAGAUUGUUUAUCGAAUAUAAUACAUCAGAAUUUUAAUUUUUUUAAAGAAUUGCUGCUUGCCUAUUUCGAAGUUUUGGUUAAAAAAUGAAGCUGAUAUGGAGGAGUGACAAAUUAGUUGUGGUUUUGGCAUAUGUCAGGAUUAUUAUAUAUAUACAAGUGCAAAACAUGUUAGUUUUUUUUGUAACUUUUGCUGAAAAAAUGUUAUGGUUCUUUCUUUGGCAAAGACCAAAGUGAGUUUUAUUAGUAUAGAAUAAAGUGUGAAAGCAAUGCAUUAUGGUCCAUUCAGCAAGACAGAACUGUUGUAUUGUUUGUUCCAUAGACACCAUAUGGAAGAAGUGUUGUUGUUAUUAUUGAGUAUAUGAUGAUGAAGAUCAAGUCUCUUCCAAAACCAUGGGGGAAUGGUGUUGAAAUUGAUCAGGGGUUCAGCAAGAAACAGAAAGUCAGGCCUACCUCUUUUGGAUUUCUUCACAGUGUCACAAGGAGUGUCCAAAUACUGAUUAGCAUCUGGAGGGCAAGGGUUGGCUUCAAUGUCAGGCUCAUACGCACUAUCAGUGUCUUCAUCCCCCCAAAACUUUCUCAAAACCUUGCCAUCUUUCAAACAUGCAGCAAUCUUGUUUUUAGGGCCAACAGUGAGUUGCGCCUUCCUCUUGUCUUGGCCUAGAAUUUCAUCAUUUAUAGUUAUAGGUUGCAAUGUGAUGGCAUCAUCAACAAAGGGAACUUCAACAAAAACAAUAGACUCAGGAAUAGUAGUGGGGAGUGCACUCUCAAUUAAACUACCCUAAGCUAAGGAAGAGGGACCUGUAAUGAGGGAUGCCUUCUUCCCAUUAACAGGACCCAAAAAAGGGUUACAUGUACUCAAAUCAACAAGGUUAGAUUUCAUAUUUGUCAUGUUACCAGUACUCUCUAAGAUUGUGUUAUGAGUAAAUUCCUCCUUCCUUAGUAAAUUCUCUGCCCCAUUUUGAUUUUUGUCAAUGUACAUAUCCAAUAGAAUGGGGUUAGAUUCUUCAUCACUGAUUUUAGCAUCCCCUAUAACCUGCUCAGCAUCAUUUUCAAGCAAUUCAAAAGAAUUUUGAAGUGUCAAGUCAAUUGAAUUUCUUUGAUUAGGAACCUGAACCUGAACCUGAGGUGCAUUGUGAAGAGAAGAAUCAUGACUCUCAGGUGCUAAGGGAAGAGUUUUCAUGCAAUUUGUUUAGAGAUAUGCUUUGAGCCAAGUACCACUCCUUGUUGUCACAGGUAUUAAAUUGGCACAGACGUCGACGAUCAGAUAUACAUUGCCGCAACCAAACAAACGCCUUUGCCUCCAACUCCCAUAUGUGUAGUGAUCAUGAUGAGUAUCAUAGAUAUCAUAUCCUUGUAGGUGAUCUCCAGACAUCUUCAUCGGCGAGACCUGUUUUCAAUCGUGCUGAUUUCAACAUACCAGAAGAGCAAAGUUUUAUGAGAAACUUUAAUAAUUCUAUGGAUCAUGUUUCUCGUAAGAAAAUCCCCAAAAUAUAGGGAGAGGAAGAAACAGGAGUGGGAGAUCAUCAUAAGGGAGACGAGGAUCAAAUUUUCCUAAAUAUUUUGAUAAUUAGUUUAUCCUGAUAGUUUUUUUGGAUUGUAUGAAUAUUAUUGAAAUAUUUAUGAUUUUGUACAAAAACUAUUUAUGAUAAUUAGUUUAUUCUUUUAGUUUAA